rnacentral:lncRNA from 1 species
GGAAAUUUUGAGGCAGCUGCGCAGAGGACAAACAAAGGACGGACCCCCUAGUGUUGUCUUCUCCAGUGGUUCUCCCAUCUUCUCCAAACGACCCACCCCUCCCUUCAGCGUCUUCUCCUCCAUUCACCUCCAAGCUCGCCAAAAUCCAACAACCACCAGUAGCUGAGGCUCACACUACCCCUUGCCGGAAGACGAGUCGCACAGCAACAAACACACACACAACCCCUCGCCGGAAAACGAGUCACAUGGCAACAAUCACAGACCCACGACGAGCUCUCACCUCUCUUCUGGACUGAAGCAAAACAAAAUAGCAGGGGUUGGGAAAUCGACAGUAAACACACCAUUGAACCUUCCUCUUCCUACCAAUUUUCAGUCGCGCACACACAUACAAAGAGUUAAAAAUAACACUUUCUGGUUUGCACUUUCAUUCAUGGAUUUUGUGUGAAGCUUUGUUGGUAUAGCCUGGUUCAGCUGUGUUGCUCGAGGACGAGGUUCGAGGUUUCGCGCCCGAUUUCCUGUCAUCUUUGUUCAGAUUGUUGCCAUUUGAGGUCCGUUCGUUAUUUCGAUUUCGGCUCUAAAUAUUGACAUCUGUUUAAUACAUUUAAGCUGUGAUGAGUAGAAUAUAAUUCUGGUAAUCGCGCGAUUUUCGUGGAUCUUGGCCAAUUAUCGGACCUUACUGUUUUGUUUAAUAUUCUUUCACAUGGUUGGAGCGUAGUUGAAGCUACUUCACCAUUUCUUUGUUGAAAGUGUAAUGCUGUGCGUUUCGAAUUGUUUGAUAUCCGAUUUGAAUUAUCCGACUAAGUAUACACAUGGAGUUAAUUGCCAACUAUUUCAUGGAAAGUUUGUUUGAUGAAAGGUGUUUCACGUAGUAUCUUUAUAUUUUUUUCUUUAGUGAUAUUAAGUGGCGUCAUUUUGAGUGUUAGUUAGCAUUUGUUUUAGUUUAUUCAUUGUGACGUGACUGUGAUUUGUUAGAUUUUUGAAAAUGUUUAAUUACGAUUAAAUCAGUUUGAGCCUUUGUGUAUGUUAAUUUAAAUCGAUGUUAGAAUGAGAAUUAGGGUAUAUAUUCACUACCUUGAAAAUCGAGAGUUUUAAUGGCAUUUCAAUUGCUGGAAAUUCGCAUCUCUUGUUGUUCUUUUUCAACCUUUGUAUUGCUUGAAUUCCUUUUGGUUAAUAUUGAAGACUUUGACAGAAUGUUGAAUAUUUGAUGCACAACUCCUCUUCGUUGUCUCAUUUGAUUAUUUAAUAAGGUUGACAGAAUGAGAAGUUUGAGCAUUAUGCUCUAAUAGUAGCUGCUGAUUAGCUUAUGGAACGUUAGUUGUCUCUGCUUGGAAAUGAUAGUGGCUUCAUUAGUAUUUUAUAUGCAUUUUUAUAUAAUUGUCUUCAAGUUUUGUUCAUUUUGUGACUUUGUCAAAUAUCACUGGCCAUUUUGCCAAUUUGAGUUUGACCUCCAUUAUAAGAUAAGUCUUCAAGUCCACUGUAUAGCUAACGAGUUUUUAUUCAAAUUUCGAUCAAUGAAGUGGAUGGUUAGAUGUCCCAGAAGUAACUUUGUCGAACUGGCUUAGUUUGUCUUUUGAUACAAUCGAAAGAGUAAACCAACUAAUCUUUAAGCGAGGUGAGCUAUAUUAGAUAAGACAUAGUCUAUGGCCCUUCGAGCUUUUAGCUGAAAUAUUCUUCAAAGAUGGAAUUGAGGUGCGCCAUGCCUAAAAAAAAUAACAAUUGCAUGGUCCUCAAUUUAAUUAAUCUUGUAUCGGCCCUUUAAUUAAUCUUGUGUUGGUACUUAGAGAUUCAGGGCACGCCAUUUAGCAAAUUUCACGGCUUUCCCGCAAAGAUAAUUACACAUUAGUCUCUUUUAGGCGGGUCUUUACUAAUUUUAUCUUCUUAAGUACGGGUGCGCAUUUAUGUGACCCAAAUCCAAAAUCUCAACGAAGUUGUCAAAAACCACGGUUGCAUUUAUGUGACGUGGUUCGAGACAUGUUUUAACGACGUUGCAAUUCUCCUUAAAAAUAAUUAUGAUAAAAGUGGUUAAAAAAUUUAAAAUGCAUAUAGGUUCAUAACUGUAUAAAAUCAUAUAAUUUAAGCCGAAUAUGACAGUUGAGCGACUGUGCUAGAACCACGGAUCUCGGGAAUGCCUAACACUUUCUCCCGGUUAACAGAAUUUCUUACUCGGACUUUUGGUUCGCGGACUAUUAAACAGAGUAAAAUUGAGAGAAUCUUACUAGUGAAAAUCCUCACGGGUAUCAUAAGGCCAUAGGAGCUGAGAGAAACAAAAAAAAUGAAAAAUAUAAGAGAGUCUUAUUGUGAAAACCCUCCCGAGCACCUUAAGGCGACUGUAUGUUGAGAGAAAAGAACAAAACGAGAGAGGCUUAAUGGUGAAGACCCUUUGGGCGCUACAAGUCGAAUAAGGAUUGUGAAUCAGAUUGGAUAAUCGGAGCAUUGCAGUCUAAGUUCACGGUCUAGAGGAGUGUAACAAGAGUUGAAUAUCAGACUUGCUUAACGAAAUAGGCUGUAGGUGCACGUCAUGGCCAUUAGAGUUAGUACCCGCAUUUUAGUGUUAGGAAUCAUCUCCUUUCAUGGUCCUCUACUCUGUUCCUUUUGUCUUGUUUAUUCCCUCCUCUUGAGUCUAUGGGGUCAAAACAAGUGAGAAAUGACUUCAAAAUCUGCCACCAGCUUUCCAAUUGCAAAAAAGGGGACCUGUUUGUCACAUCAAAGCACCAUGGUCAGGAAAGAACAACAGGCACAUUGAGCUGGUAACAAUCAACAUGCUUUGGGAUUCGUUUGAAAUACAAAUGCUCGGUAUAUAUCAAAUCAUGGACAAUGCAACAGAAUGAGGGCUAGGGUAAAUUGAUCAAAAGGGUUUUCUGUGACAAGAUGUAAACCGGUGACAAGCAAGAUCUUCCAAGAAGAAAUCGAAGUUAUCAUGGCUAGCGAUAGAGCAAUUGACCUCAAGGUCAGAGCCAGUUAUUUGGGUCAGAAAAGAACAUCAUAUACAAUGUAGUUGGUAAAUAUGCUUUAGGGAUUAGGUGAAACACAAGGGUUUGUCAGAUGUCGGUUCAGGAACAAUGCAAUACACGGAAGGUAUUGGGUUCGAAUGAGAAGAGGUAUUUUUUGGGUUAAGGUUUACAACGAAGCGGUUGGUCAAGGGGAAAACAUGGUCUUCAAAUGAAAGUCAAUCAUCAUAACAAGUGAAGGAGUAACACACCUCAAGGUCAAGGCCAGUGGUUCAAGUCAAUAAAAAACAUCAUAAACACGGAGUUAGGGCAAGGGACAUGCUUUAGAAUUCAUGUGGAACACAAAGGUUGGGAAUAUUUCAGUUCAUCAGCAAUGCAACAAAUAGAGGAUUUUGGGUCUGAACGGGGAAGAGGUAUUUUUUGUGAUAAGGGUGACAGAGAAGUUGGUCAGCCAAUAAGCAAUCCAUGUCUUUCAAGAUGAAAUCAAAGCUGCCAUGGUAUGUGAAAAGGCGCAACAAAAAGAUGGGAGGGCCACAAUGGUUCAGGGGUUCAGCCAAGCAUCGUAAACUGACCGGGUACUCUCAGAAAGGAUGCAAGGGUCCGGCGAAAGAGUCAGAAACGCAACACGAAAAUGGGAAUGUUCGCAAGGGUUAGCCAAGCAUCGUAAACUUGCUGGGUAACCUCAGGAAAGGAUGUGAAAAUUAUAGCAAAGGGUCGGAAAUGCAACACAAAGAUGAGGAGAAGAAUGAAGGUACAGGGGUCAGAGGGUCAGCCAAGCAUAAUACAUUGACUUGGCAAUCUUGAGAAAAGUGCGAGGAUUCUGGCAAAGGGCAAGAAAUGUAACACAAUCAUGGGGAGCAAAGUAAAGCCGUAAAGAUUCGAGGGGUCAGCCAACCAACUCAGACAACUCAUCAUCAACAUGAAAAUUUGAACAAAACAGAACAUGACAGUGAGGAGGCAUCUUCCAACAAGAAUGCCGCAAACUAACCACCACUUUUCAAACUGACUAGUUUUCUUUGAUUGACAUAUGGGCAUAAAAAUUCCUGAAGAGCCUGUGUGAGGCCAUUCAAAGGGGAAACCAGGCACAUGGAAAGUAUGAUCAAAACCUCAGGGCCCAUCUGAAAAUGGAUCUAGUUCAAACUCAAAAGGGACAUAGUUCGUCAUAAAUAUCCUCCCCAGCAAAGAGCACAAAGGAACAAAUUUUAACUAUCAAACCCCAAUAGGAACAAUUGAGGGUUGAAUUAAGCAUAGAAGUUGAAAUGGAGCGCAGCUUAAUACUCAAACAGGCACAGGUAGCAUGGGCAAGCACCAGCACCCUCCCCAGCAAGAGUCGCAGAAACUCCUAAACAAUAAUCACUAGCAGAAACAACCAGAAGUUAGAAUUAACAUUUAAGUUGGAACCCUCAGGACCCUCAUGAAAAAUGGGCUUAGCUUAAUAAUAGUCGGGUGGCAUGGUCAAACCCAAAUAAUUCCCCAAUAGGAGUAAUCAGGACCCGCUUGGACAUUGGGAUUAAAUCGUAAGAGUUGUCAGGACCCCCUGGAUAAUUGAAUAUAGCUCCCAGCAGACACAUUUUGUCGUCAAAUUAAGAGUUGUCAGGACCCGCAUGGAUAAUAGGAAGUAGUUUUGAUCACUAGUCACCAGCAAACCCCCAGCAAAUAUAACUCAUAAUAAGACAUAGUGGAAAAUAAUACCUCUUGAGAAACGUAACAUUGUUCAAAAGUUGUCAUCAGCUAAGAAUUGUCAGGGCCCUCUUGGAUAAUAAGACUUAGCUUAGAUUUAGAGAUAUUUGGUAAGAGGAUAUGAUUAACACUCACAUAUCCGCCCAGCACCAAACUGGGGCAAGAAGAAUUUUUUGUGUUUUGUUUAUUUUGUUGUGAUCAGGUACACAGGCAGCAGUUUCAGGGAAUAUUUUUCAAAAUUCAAGUUUUGAUAAUCAACAACAAAAUAAGCUCAUGUCAUGAAUGCAAGUCAACAGUCCGAGGUAAUCAACAAAAGUUCGUCACAAUAAAGAAAAAAAUGAAGAAAAAGGAAGGCAAGUAGGAAGUUAAUCCAAAUAAAAGCAGAUGAAAGAUGUGACUUUCUAAAGGCAUGGUUAAGGUUGCGAACGUUACAUGUCCAAUCUUAAUUAAGAAAAGCCGAAGAAGAACAAGCUAGUACCUGCACAUAACAAGCGUCAAGGUUGAAAUCUAAAGUCUUAAUGAAGAACCACUCGAGACUGAAGAUCAAGCUUCAGAAGACUUAUAGAUAGGAAUCUUGUAACUCGUAGUUGACAAGUUUAGAUAUUCUUUUUCAUUCUUUUGAUUUUGAUGUGAUAACAGACCGUGGAUCGGAACCUCGGCGGAAUGGCACCUCGACCGGAUCUUCACCUCUGCAUAUUCCUUCAUCUUACACACUCAUGAAUUACAGUACCUGAUUCUUCUUUAGCCGAGGAUAUGUAGGCAAUCUCUGAAGCACGGUGCGGUCAAGCUUUUUCAAAAUGCUUCCCAAGGAGUAUUCAAGCAGGCAAAAAUCGCUCGUAUCCAUUCACUUUAUCUUUGCACGAAAACCCUUCGGGUUUCUGAGUAAAGAGGAGCAGCUGUGAGCACGUGAUUUUUGCCCUACCUGAGAAUAACUCCUAAAAAUAGACCAAAACACUUUAUUUAUUAAUUUUAGG